CCUCAAAAUACGCAAGACUUUUGUCAUUAAGGAUGGAAAAAUUACUUGUUCUCGUCCAGUUAACAAAUAUAGAAAUGAGGGACAUUUCUUUUGUAGUUAACAAAUCUUAAUAAAGAAGCAUCACUCACCCCAUCUUAGAAUUCCGCUCCUGCGGCCCUCUCCCUGCCUCUCUCACUCACUCUCGUAUAAAAACAGAUCAGGUUUUUCUCUGAUUUGCAGUCGGACUGUAAUUUUGGAUUCAAUACAGCCCAUAUUUGCUAGCGCGCAGAACGUAGACACAGCUAUUGGAAAGCUCCAAUCAUGGACUAACAACCGUUGUUUGAUGAAGGACCGGGGGAUUACUUGCUUUAAGACAAUCAUACUGUUGGAUUGGAAAAAAUAUUGAGUGUUAUUAACUUCAUCGGAGCAUUGAAGAUGAAAGAGUUUUGUUUUUCCUUGGAGUAGGACAUCUGAUUCGAAGAAAAACCCCAGGAUACUCCUCUGAAGUUCCCAAGCAAAUCAAAAGGCAGAAAAUAUAAUGGGAAACACAAUGCAAAAACCCCAAGGAACAGAAGUAGAAGGAACAGAACAGUUGCAACAAGAAGAAGAUUCAAACUUUACUUGUGAAAUUUGCUCCGAUCCUAUGCUAUCAACCAGAAAUUUCAAGAAUGGUAUCGUGUGUAAACAUCCAUUCUGCUUGGAUUGCAUAACCAAAUAUAUUGAAAUAACAGUUGAGGAAACCUCUGGCUGCAUUGAAUGCCCUGGACUGAACUGCAAGCAACUGUUAGACCCUCUCUCAUGCAGGCCUAUCAUCUCAAAACCAAUAUUUGAGAAAUGGUGUGAUCGUCUAUGUGAUUCGAUGGUUUUAGGGUCUGAAAGUUGCUAUUGCCCGUACCGAGAUUGCUCAGUGUUGGUUUUGAAUGAGUGUAAGGAUAAGCUGAAAAAAAUAAAUUGUCCUAACUGCAAGAAAAAUUUCUGUUUCCUAUGCAAGAUUCCUUGGCAUACAGGAUAUCGGUGCAGUGAGAGCAGACAUCUAAGAGAUAGGAAUGACAUUCUGGCUGGUGAGUUGAUUGAAGAGAAAAAGUGGACUAGAUGUUAUAAUUGUAGUCACUCUGUUGAGCGAGUUAGUGGUUGCAGAGAUAUAAAAUGCAGAUGCGGGUUUCGGUUUUGCCAUCAAUGUGGAGGACCAUUCCAUUCUGGCCUUUGUAAGCACAAGCGCUGUGGAUAUGUUCUUUGCAAUCUUUUCAUUUUUCGAUGUUAUUAGCUUUCUGCUAUUUUGUUUUUUUUGAAAUACAUUCCCUCCCAUUAAGAAAAGGUAGACUCACAGUUGCACAGGCCAUGCCCAAAAAAAAAAAGGUUGUAAAUGACGUUUAAGAAAAUAGGUUGUAAGAAAAAGGUUGUAAAUGAUGUUCUUCUCGAACAAAAUAUAAUAAUAAAGGAAUAGUUUGUUCAA